UGGGGAAUAUUGGACAAUGGGGGGAACCCUGAUCCAGCCAUGCCGCGUGUGUGAAGAAGGCCUUAUGGUUGUAAAGCACUUUAAGCGAGGAGGAGGGUACUGGUAUUAAUACUACCAGGUACUGGACGUUACUCGCAGAAUAAGCACCGGCUAACUCUGUGCCAGCAGCCGCGGUAAUACAGAGGGUGCGAGCGUUAAUCGGAUUUACUGGGCGUAAAGCGUGCGUAGGCGGCUAAUUGAGUCGGAUGUGAAAUCCCCGAGCUUAACUUGGGAAUUGCAUUCGAUACUGGUUAGCUAGAGUGUGGGAGAGGAUGGUAGAAUUCCAGGUGUAGCGGUGAAAUGCGUAGAGAUCUGGAGGAAUACCGAUGGCGAAGGCAGCCAUCUGGCCUAACACUGACGCUGAGGUAUGAAAGCAUGGGGAGCAAACAGG
rnacentral:rRNA from 1 species